rnacentral:rRNA from 1 species
UACGAAGGGGGCUAGCGUUGUUCGGAUUUACUGGGCGUAAAGCGCACGUAGGCGGAUCGUUAAGUCGGGGGUGAAAUCCUGGAGCUCAACUCCAGAACUGCCUUCGACUACUGGCGAUCUUGAGUCCGGAAGAGGUGAGUGGAACUCCUAGUGUAGAGGUGGAAUUCGUAGAUAUUAGGAAGAACACCAGUGGCGAAGGCGGCUCACUGGUCCGGUACUGACGCUGAGGUGCGAAAGCGUGGGGAGCAAACAGG